rnacentral:lncRNA from 1 species
GCCGGGCAUGGUGGCAUGCACCUGUAAUCCUAGCUACUCAGGAGGCUGAGGCAGGAGAAUUGCUUGAACCUGGGAGGCGGAGGUUGCAGUGACCCGAGAUCGAGCCAUCAUACUCCUGCCUCGGCAAAAACAGCGAAAUUCAGUCUCAAAAAAAAAGAGACGAGUCUCGCUCUGUCGCCAGGCUGGAGUGCAGUGGCGCGAUCUCUGCUUACUGCAACCUCCGCCUCCCGGGUUCUAGCGAUUCUCCUGC